rnacentral:tRNA from 1 species
AAAGGGAGACCUAAUUCGGGUAUAAGACGAAAAAAUAGUAGUCGAAACCAAGAAUCAAUCCCAAAAGGUCGGAACGAGGUAUGUGGCUUUCAAACUAGGUUCUGGGUUCAUAAAAGACCUGAAUCAGGAACAAGGGCUAUUAGCUCAGGUGGUUAGAGCGCACCCCCGAUAAGGGUGAGGUCCCUGGUUCGAGUCCAGGAUGGCCCACCUGCACAGGUGGCAAAAACAAGAGAAGCGAGGAAUCAGCACCUUAUCCUAAUUUAUAUAUAGGAGAGAAUGCUGGCUCUGAGUAAAGAGUCCAGAGGAACCUUGAAAACUGCAUAGAGCUAGGUGAAAAAGCCAAAAAAGAAGACCGCAAG